rnacentral:rRNA from 1 species
UACGUAUGGUGCAAGCGUUAUCCGGAUUUACUGGGUGUAAAGGGAGCGCAGGCGGAAGGCUAAGUCUGAUGUGAAAGCCCGGGGCUCAACCCCGGUACGGCAUUGGAAACUGGUCAUCUAGAGUGUCGGAGGGGUAAGUGGAAUUCCUAGUGUAGCGGUGAAAUGCGUAGAUAUUAGGAGGAACACCAGUGGCGAAGGCGGCUUACUGGACGAUAACUGACGCUGAGGCUCGAAAGCGUGGGGAGCAAACAGG